rnacentral:lncRNA from 1 species
UUGAGUGAGGAAGAGAAAGAUGAGAAGAAAGAAAAGGCAGUGGUUGAGAAAAAAGAAAAAAAAAUAAGAAAAUAAGAAAAAAGAAAAAAAAGAAGGAGAAGGUUGAGAAAAAGAGGAAGAAAGGAAAGAAGAAAAGAUCACAUGAAAAAUCAUAGGAAGGGAAAUAAGUUCAAGUUGGCGAUCUUCAAGAUAUUGGAGAUUAAAGUUCCUAUGGUUGAAACAUGAAAACAGGUGCUUGGUGUUCUUACUUUUAUAAAGAAAUUCAGCAGGAAGAAGAAAAAGAAAAGAAUAUCAAGAAAGGGGAGUAUCAACACCUACUGAUGGGUGUUUGAACUCUACUAGGUCAAGCUAGUGACAUAAAAAGAGCGCUUGCUGGGAG